GCCCUUUUCCGGUUGAUCCUGCCGGAGGCUACCGCUCUGGGAGUUGGAUUAAGCCAUGCUAUCGGAGGGCAGUUCGGCUGCCCCGUGUAUAGCUCAGUAACACGUGGUCAAUCUGCCCUUGGGACGGGGAUAACCCCGGGAAACUGGGGAUAGUACCCGAUAGAUGGGGAUUCUGGAAGAGUCCCUCAUCCAAAUGCUCCGGCGCCCAAGGACGAGACUGCGGCCUAUUAGGUAGUUGGUGAGGUAAAGGCUCACCAAGCCAAUGAUGGGUACGGGCCCUGAGAGGGGGAGCCCGGAGAUGGAGACUGAGACAAGGCUCCAGGCCCUACGGGGCGCAGCAGGUGCGAAAAUUCCGCAAUGCGUGAAAGCGCGACGGAGCAACUCCCAGUGCCGAUGGUCCAACGACCGUCGGCUUUUCUGGACCUUAAAUAGUUUCAGGUAAUAAGGGCCGGGUAAGACUGGUGCCAGCCGCCGCGGUAACACCAGCGGCCCGAGUGGUAGCCGCUUUUAUUGGGCCUAAAGCGUCCGUAGCCGGACUGGCAAGUCCUUUGUGAAAUCGAGCGGCUUAACCGUUCGGCGUGCAAGGGAAACUGCCGGUCUUGGGACCGAUAGGCGUCGAGGGUACUCCGGGGGUAGCGGUGAAAUGCUAUAAUCCUCGGGGGACCGCCAGUGGCGAAAGCGCUCGGCGAUGUCGGAUCCGACGGUGAGGGACGAAAGCCAGGGGAGCAAACCGGAUUAGAUACCCGGGUAGUCCUGGCUGCAAAGGAUGUGGGCUAGGUGCUUGACGUUCCUCGAGAACGUUGGGUGCCGAA
rnacentral:rRNA from 1 species